GUCUCGCUUCUAGGGCUGCGUCUGUGUCGUCGCUGACGAUUCUUUCAGCCGCGUCCCAUUCUUAUCUCUUUGCAAGUGCGGAAGCAGCCAACGACUUCAAGUGCUUACAAGUCGAAGCGUUCCCCUAAAGCAGCGCCAUUCAGGCUCGCUGCUGCCAUGGAAUUCUCGAAAUUGACAACGGCGGAAGCCGGCAUUCUGAUCGUAAUUAUUUUGCUGGUGAUCGCUGUACUUAAGGAGACAAGUGUACGACACCUUAGGGUCAUUCCCAAUGGUGCCCGUUGCCUCCUGGGCCCUCAAGCCUGCCAUUCCUGGGCAAUAUCCCAACACUGCUUAGUGACCUGAGUGCUCAGCGUGCGCUCGCCUGGUCCCGUAAAUACGGGCCUGUUAUCAGAGUUAUGGCAGGCACGUCCGAAACUAUAGUAUUGAACGACCUGAACUUAAUCUGGACAUUUUUGAACCACAAGGACUUCCUG
rnacentral:lncRNA from 1 species